rnacentral:rRNA from 1 species
AAGACCUUGCGCUUUUGGAGCGGCCGAUGCCUGAUUAGCUUGUUGGUAAGGUAAAGGCUUACCAAGGCUUCGAUCAGUAGCUGGUCUGAGAGGACGGCCAGCCACACUGGGACUGAGACACGGCCCAGACUCCUACGGGAGGCAGCAGUGGGGAAUUUUGGACAAUGGGGGAAACCCUGAUCCAGCCAUGCCGCGUGAGUGAAGAAGGCCUUCGGGUUGUAAAGCUCUUUCAGCCGGAACGAAACGGUUACGGAUAAUACCCGUGACUACUGACAGUACCGGAAGAAGAAGCACCGGCUAACUACGUGCCAGCAGCCGCGGUAAUACGUAGGGUGCGAGCGUUAAUCGGAAUUACUGGGCGUAAAGCGUGCGCAGGUGGUUUUGUAAGUCAGAUGUGAAAGCCCCGGGCUCAACCUGGGAACU